CCUACGGGUGGCAGCAGUGGGGAAUAUUGGACAAUGGGCGCAAGCCUGAUCCAGCCAUGCCGCGUGUGUGAAGAAGGCCUUCGGGUUGUAAAGCACUUUAAGCAGGGAGGAAGACCUGACGGUUAAUACCCGUCAGGAAUGACGUUACCUGCAGAAUAAGCACCGGCUAACUCCGUGCCAGCAGCCGCGGUAAUACGGAGGGUGCAAGCGUUAAUCGGAAUUACUGGGCGUAAAGCGCGCGUAGGUGGCUAAUUAAGUCGGAUGUGAAAUCCCCGGGCUCAACCUGGGAAUUGCAUACGAUACUGCUUGGCUAGAGUACGAGAGAGGAAGGUAGAAUUCCACGUGUAGCGGUGAAAUGCGUAGAUAUGUGGAGGAAUACCAGUGGCGAAGGCGGCCUUCUGGCUCGAUACUGACACUGAGGUGCGAAAGCGUGGGGAGCA
rnacentral:rRNA from 1 species